CCACUCUGGCUAUGGAUGUGGAAAUUUGACAAGCUAUUGAUGAACUGGGUCCAAAAACUUAUAAAGAACAAGUGCAAAAUGCAGAAAACAUCAGCCCUUCAAGUCCAUGCUCAGCGUGGUCACCAUCAGAGCGCAGAAGAACCAGAACACAAGAAAAAAGAAACCGACUGGAGGGAUUUGGCCCAGAAGCUUUUGUUCAGUGAAACCAAAAAGACUGAAGCAGGAGGACGGGCCCGUGGCCGUGAGAUGAAAUGUGACAAGGAAUAUUCUUCACCUUAAAAGAUCAUCAACUCCAUGAAAAAAACACCUAAAGUAGCAAACAGCAAGCAAAAUUUAAAGUUCAGAAGAGAUACCAGCGUAAAUGACUCUCUCAGUACCUCCAAGGAUUAAAUUCUGUUCAGUCCGGAGCAUAUGGCUGCUGCUAAAGAGCGAUCCAUUUUGCAGCAGCAGAAGAGAUCAAUAAAAAACCUGUCAGUUUCUGUGCUAACCCCUCCUCCUGGACUGGAUCUCAGUGUCCUCGGUGAUGCUACACUACCAGAUGCAGCACAAAGCAUCCACAUGGGACGUCCUGCCGAUCAGUCAGACAAGCUUUUGCUCUCCAGUUGGGGUCUCCCUAAGCCUGUUCUGGAGAAAUACCAGAGUCUAGGUGUUCAGAGGAUGUUUGAGUGGUAGGCUGAGUGUCUGAUCUUGGGCAAAGUGUUGGAGGGCCAGAACCUGGUAUAUUCUGCUCCAACCAGUGCAGGAAAAACUUUGGUAUCAGAGUUGUUAAUCUUGAAGAGAGUUUUGGAAACAAGACAAAAGGCCAUGUUCAUUCU